CCUACGGGAGGCAGCAGUGGGGGAUAUUGCACAAUGGGGGAAACCCUGAUGCAGCGACGCCGCGUGUGGGAAGACGGUCCUCUGGAUUGUAAACCACUGUCCCCAGGGACGAAGAUGACGGUACCUGGGGAGGAAGCUCCGGCUAACUACGUGACAGCAGCCGCGGUACUACGUAGGGAGCGAGCGUUGACCGGAAUUACUGGGUGUAAAGGGAUGGUAGGCGGGACUGCAAGUUGGGUGUCAAAUCUACCGGCUCAACCGGUAGCCGCACUCAAAACUGCAGUUCUUGAGUGAAGUAGAGGCAGGCGGAAUUCCUAGUGUAGCGGUGAAAUGCGUAGAUAUUAGGAGGAACACCAGUGGCGAAGGCGGCCUGCUGGGCUUUUACUGACGCUGAGGCUCGAAAGUGUGGGGAGCAAACAGGAUUAGAUACCCCAGUAGUC
rnacentral:rRNA from 1 species